rnacentral:lncRNA from 1 species
CGGGAUUAUGGUAUAGUUGGGUGGUCACAGGGGUGCCUGCACUAUGCUGCUAUAUCUCCAGCUCCUCUCACUGUCGGUGUUGACGACGAUGAGGGUUCACUCAACAUGGCUGAAGAGGUAGCUAUCUGGCGCCUUGAGGAUUAUGAUAAACAGCAACGGGCCCUCAAGCAUAGUUUCAGAAUCGAUAAGGUGCUGAACCUAAAUGAGGUGGACUACCGGCUGGUUGGGUUCCAUCCCGAUCACGACACCUUCUUCUUUGUCAGCAAGGGUAUUUGGGAGGGCGAAAAGGCUUCAUUGGUGUCGUGGGACAUGCGGCGUCGCCAACUCUCUUGUGUUCUCCAUCUCGAGAAAAGCAGUGUAGCGCCGUAUCUGCCUUAUGUUCCUCUCUUCUCAUCGGAGCCACUAGCAGAUGCAGAUGGGCACUAAUUCAGUUCGCUUUGUGCUUGGGCUUGCUCCGAUCAAUGGAAUAAGCAUGUAUGUGUACACCUGCACUUCUUAAUCUUCUUGAAUUGUGUUAGUCACUUUGUUCUGUGGGGCUAAAUUAUACUACUGUUAUCCAGCUUUCUUGGCCAUUGCAUGCCGUGAUUGCGGUUGUACUGAAUCCUAGUAUUAGUGAGUGCUACUUGUGAACUUUGUUUUGUUCCUUUUUAGUUAUUAUAUGUUUGCUGAUGCUUACGAAUUCAGUCUUGUUUCGUAGAUGAAUUCGGUCUUAUGCAGCAGACAAGGUCAUGAAAUAAGUGCAUAAUGCAAAC